AUUGAACGCUGGCGGCAGGCCUAACACAUGCAAGUCGAACGAGUGGCGGACGGGUGAGUAAUGUCUGGGAAACUGCCCGAUGGAGGGGGAUAACUACUGGAAACGGUAGCUAAUACCGCAUACCAUCGGAUGUGCCCAGAUGGGAUUAGCUAGUAGGUGGGGUAACGGCUCACCUAGGCGACGAUCCCUAGCUGGUCUGGGAGGAUGACCAGGUACACUGGAACGGAGACAAGGUCCAGACUACGACGGGAGGCAGCAGUGGGGAAUAUUGCACAAGGGGCGCAAGCCUGAUGCAGCCAUGCCGCGUGUAUGAAGAAGGCCGGGGGGUUGUAAAGUACUUGCAGGGAGAAGGCGUUACUCGAAGAAGAAGCACCGGCUAACUCCGUGCCAGCAGCCGCGGUAAUAC
rnacentral:rRNA from 1 species